GGUUGAUCCUGCCAGUAGUCAUAUGCUUGUCCCAAAGAUUAAGCCAUGCAUGUCCAAGUAUAAAUCGUUAUACGGUGAAACUGCGAAUGGCUCAUUAUAUCAGUUAUAAUUUAUUUGAUGGUUUCUUUACUACUUGGAUAACCGUGGUAAUUCUAGAGCUAAUACAUGCAAAAGGCCCGACUCACGAAGGGCCGUAUUUAUUAGAUCAAAAACCAAUGCCUUUGGGCUUGCUGGUGAUUCAUAAUAACUCUGCGGAUCGCACGGCUGUGUGCUGGCGACGCUUCAUUCAAAUU
rnacentral:rRNA from 1 species